CAUUUCCAAAUAAAUGAAUCUCUAAAUAGCAGCUGUGUACUAUCUAUCUCUUCAUCUGUGUUUUAAAGAUCAGUUUGAAAUCAAAUUAUUUUAAGCUCUUUUGUUUCUCAAGAGAUACAAUUUGGAAAUAUGACGUGGACAAUCAUUUCAAUAAAAUCGGAUAUGGAAUAAAUUGACUUGGUGAAGGACAUUUAAAAAAGAGACAAGGAAUUCUCAAUGUUAUAUUUGUACAGACCUUUCCAAGGACAUCUUCUGUAAAUGUUUUUGUCUCUAUAUGAAAUUGUUUGUAAUUUGCGUCACUGUUUGUCAUCAUUUUACACAGCUACAUUCAAAUAGUUUAACAGAGCAUGUGGCUCACUUUGUGAACUUCAGUCUUAUCUUUUCACUGCUGCACUUUAAAGUUGUCGUACAACCAUUAAUGCAUUGGAAUAUCAAUGCAAGAGAAAUUGAACACAUUUUUUUCAGGUUUCUUUUGUAGAUUUUAUGUGUUUCAUGUAACUUUUGUUGUUGUUGUUGUUAUAAAUGGCAUGUGCCCCAAACUGAAUUCUUUAUCUUGUGUUUGUCCCUCUCAGUUGUCUUAACUAAAUCAUGAAUGACCUGAGAGUUAGUACAGAAGCAUACCUCAGUAAUAAGAAUACACCCAUAAUGGCACACAUUUUAUGCAUCAGCUUUUGCUCUGGUAUUUUAUGAAACGGUUUUCCGUACAUGAAUGAAGAAAGGUGUAGAAAUAUGUUCAAGGGAUUAUUGAAGGAGAGAUGAUGCGGGAAUAUUUUUGAAAAUAUCUGUCCCCUUUAUUUAAUAGAAAUGCAAUACACCUCAAUUAAAAACCACACCUUCAGUCAUUUGAUUGUUUAGUUAUUAAUUAAUAUUUUUAUUCCACCUUCAGACCAAGCAAUGUCUUUCUGAUCAGCCAUUUAUAAUUUUUGCUAUUUGUGAUAGCUGGGUUAAAUAGCAUAUUGCUGAAGCUAACAUUUGACUUCCAUUUACAGACUGAAAACACAACCCAACUUAAGACACUUAAACAAGUAGUUGGUUAUAGCUAUUUUGCAGAAUUUUACCCCAUUCUCCACUCUCAGAAUCCUCCAUCUUUCCAAAAUACAUUUCUUUAUUGCAUUCUUUUCUCCAUUGCUUAUAUUUUCUUAAGUGGAGUAAAGUUUGCUAUAGUUUUAGUAAAAGGGUUUCUAAAACUUUUUUUUUUUUUACUUAAUUUGCCUAUUUUUCUGCUGUUACUGAUUUGGCCACCACAGACAUUUAUAUGUUUAGCUUCAAAGCGCUUUAAUGUUUUUUUGUAUUUCACUGUAACCAAAGCAAUAUCAAACUAACAUAUUCAAAAUACCUUUGCUCACCGAAAACUCAAAUCGCAUAUCAUUCAUAACCAUAUUUAAUUUUGUAAUCAGGUAUUCAAAAUAAAAAUAACUACCCAAAUCCUGCUUUGUUUUCGGUCUAUAAAUAGUUUGUGAAAAGUACACGAUAUGUAAUGAUUAUAGAUAAUGUCACCUACUCAGACAGCACACAAUGCAG
ensembl:lncRNA